rnacentral:rRNA from 2 species
GCUGGCGGCGUGCCUNNNNCAUGCAAGUCGAGCGAACAGAUAAGGAGCUUGCUCCUUUGACGUUAGCGGCGGACGGGUGAGUAACACGUGGGUAACCUACCUAUAAGACUGGAAUAACUCCGGGAAACCGGGGCUAAUGCCGGAUAACAUUUAGAACCGCAUGGUUCUAAAGUGAAAGAUGGUUUUGCUAUCACUUAUAGAUGGACCCGCGCCGUAUUAGCUAGUUGGUAAGGUAACGNCUUACCAAGGCAACGAUACGUAGCCGACCUGAGAGGGUGAUCGGCCACACUGGAACUGAGACACGGUCCAGACUCCUACGGGAGGCAGCAGUAGGGAAUCUUCCGCAAUGGGCGAAAGCCUGACGGAGCAACGCCGCGUGAGUGAUGAAGGUCUUCGGAUCGUAAAACUCUGUUAUUAGGGAAGAACAAAUGUGUAAGUAACUGUGCACNUCUGACG